UCCUCACUUCAGGACACAAUUGAUUUUGUGUCAUUGCGGUACCGUAGUAACGGUGAAAAGUCUGAGGUUGAUGGUGGUGCUUCAAGUACUUCGCCUUUGCUGGGCAAAAAUGCAGUAGUUGAUUAUCCUAUAAUUGUAAAACAAGAUCAAGGCAAUUAUGUACUAAAAGAAGAAAGCAGAAGAAAUAUUGCUGGCUGGACCAUAGCAUUCACAUGUAUUGGGGCAUUUAUUCUUACAUAUGCAGCCACGGAUUUGAAUCUUCCUGGGGUUGUUCGCUUUACAUUGUGUGGUAUUGGUGGUGCUCUCCUUCUGUGUGGUCUGAUUGUGCUGAAUCUUAUUGAACAAGAUGAUGCAAGACACAGCUUUGGUCAUUCUGGAGGAUUUAUUUGUCCAUUUGUUCCACUCCUUCCUAUCACCUGCAUUCUCAUCAACAUAUAUCUGCUGAUUAAUCUUGGUGUUGCCACCUGGACCCGUGUUUCAAUCUGGCUCCUAAUUGGAGUGUUCGUUUAUCUAUUCUAUGGGAGAACUCACAGCUCACUGUUAGAUGCAGUCUAUGUGCCUGCAGCUCAUGCUGAUGAGAUUUAUCGCAGCUCUGGAUAUAGUUUAGCUUAGAAUCCAGGAUUCUCACAACAGAAUCUCUUUGUUGUAUGAUGGCAUUCUCCCCAAACAUGCCCUCCCCCAUUCUUUUGGCUUUUUAUAUUAUUUUCCCCCUUUCCCUAUGUGUUGUAUGUAUUCUUACAGUGGCUCAAAUCAGUCGUGUGCAUAGCAUAUUAUAAUAGAGGGUUGACAUGGGGACAUGCUUAAGCAUUGUAAGUAGUUUGAAAGUGGAAGAAGAUAUUCUUCUUCUUUUGUUUACAUUGCCUAAUGAAUAUUCUUCUUGACACAGUGAUAAACCCC
rnacentral:misc_RNA from 1 species